rnacentral:rRNA from 1 species
AUGACAAAGCCUAAGAGAGUAGGAGGCAUAGGAUUCCGUGAUAUGCACCUCUUCAAUCAAGCCUUACUAGCCAAGAAAGGGUGGAGACUAAUCCAAAACCCAAAUAGCCUUUGUGAGAGGGUCCUCAAAUCAAAAUAUUUUCCUAAUGGGAACAUCCUUGAUACUGUCUUUGCUUCGGAUGUCUCUCCGUCUUGGAGAGGUAUUGAGUUUGGGCUGGAAUUACUUAAGAAGGGUCUUAUUUGGCGAGUUGGAAAUGGUAGGAACAUACAAAUAACAAGGGACCAAUGGAUACUAAGGAAGGAAGGAUCGAAAGCAGCCUCUUUUGUGACAAGAACAAGACUCAGAUGGGUCAACUAG